AAGCGCUUGGUGGAUAUUUUGCGUUUUGAACUGGGGAGAUAAAGUGAGAGAAUAACCCAGAAACAUCGUGAUACAGAAACGCCAUGUUUGCUCACAUGCACACUCACGUUUAGUGUAGUUAAACAGUUUAGUGUGGACACGCUGUAGCGAGAGCGGUCAUGGACGCACGCUUUUCUUUUGGACACAGUUCUGUGAAGUGCUGCGGUAUGUCACCUAGAUCUUUUCUGUAUUUGGAGUAAAUGAAGGUAAAGCUGCCAACCGUACACAAUGAGCCCAAGAGAAGACGCCCCUGCAGACCGGUAUGUUUUUCACUGUGGAUUUCAUUUCUUUCUUUUUUUUUGCCUUUCAAAAAACAAUUCACCCAAACUAAAGGACUGAUGUAGUCUUAGAGAACCACAGUAUGUGAUGUGAAGGGCACUGACUGAGUUUAAUUGCUCUAAAAGCACUCAAGUGAGUCAACAGAACAGACUGUAAUCAAGCUAAUAGCUUUCUGACAUCGCCUGGAGUCACAUUCUGCAUGUUUGAUGCAAAGUUCACUUACAGUAUUAUACAAGCCUUAAUUGUUGCUUUAUUUCUCUUGAUAUUAAACUCAAUAUUAAACUCAUGGUUAUUUAAAUAAGAAUGUUUUUUUUUUUUUUUUUUUUUUUUUUUUGUGAAGCCAGGUGCCUUUGAAGUCUUGUAAGUGUCUCCAGUUUACUUUUCAAAGUAAACAGUCAGGGGUCAGUUAACAAGUUUAACUCAGAGUAGAUGAGGUCUGUAACCAGUGUUGCUUUUGUUAACUAAAGCUGUUCCAGAUGUUGAAAUGUAAAGAGUAUUUAACAUUUUUGGUAAUUGAAAUAAAACACAAAUAUUAGAUAGAAGAAAAAAAAAGAAAAUUAAUUACUAAAUAAAAAAAAACAACUAAUAACAAUGACAAAUGCAUAUAACAAAAAUACUAAAAUCUAAACUAUAAUUAAAUUGCAAAGUGAAAAUAUAAAAAUAAAGCCUAAUUCAGCAUUAAAAAGAUAAGAAUAGUUUUUUGUUUUUUUUUUUUUUUUUGUUGAAAGCCAGGUGCCUUUGAAGUCUUGUAAGUGUCUCCAGUUUACUUUUCAAAGUAAACAGUCAGGGGUCAGUUAACAAGUUUAACUCAGAGUAGAUGAGGUCUGUAACCAGUGUUGCUUUUGUUAACUAAAGCUGUUCCAGAUGUUGAAAUGUAAAGAGUAUUUAACAUUUUGGUAAUUGAAAUAAAACACAAAUAUUAGAUGAGAAAAAAAAGAAAAUUAAUUACUAAAUAAAAAAAACAACUAAUAACAAUGACAAAUGCAUAUAACAAAAAUACUAAAAUCUAAACUAUAAUUAAAUUGCAAAGUGAAAAUAUAAAAAUAAAGCCUAAUUCAGCAUUAAAAAGAUGAUAACAUUAUAUAAAUAGGGAUGCACAGACAGUAUAUCAACGUCAUUUAUUAAUUCAUCCUAUGUUUAAUUGUAUAUACUGACUAUUUGUGAAUGCACUUUGGAGAGAGUUGAUAUGAAUAUAACCAUAGAAAGCCUGUGUUUUUCUACAUGCAGUGAAAUUUACUUCUAAUAAUAACAGUAAUAGUAGUAAUAGUAAGGUUUUAUUGUUGUAGUCUGACUCUUAAGAGUAUGGAUUAUGGUUUGAUAAUAGCAUGGAUACAUAAACCGUUUCUUGGAAAUAAUAAUGAAGUCUGCAGACUGAAAGGUGAUGGUCUGACACGAACCGGCCGUGACUGUGGUCUUUUCUCUUCUCUCUAGUGGCUUCCUCGUGGGGAUCAUAUUCUUCAUCCUCGGCCUGGGAACACUGUUGCCAUGGAACUUCUUCAUGACGGCGUCUAUGGUAACGGAAUGUGGAAAACAUUCCAAAUAUGCAAAUUAAGCACAGCGUUGGUCAAAGGGCAAAAACACAGGAUGCUCUAAGGAAAUCCUUCAGACUGAUUUGCUGGAGCAACACAGUUGUUUCCCUUUGAAAGGCACUUAAUUAGGCUGAGAGAAAUUCCCGCACAUGUAGCCCCUCUGGGCAUUGAUCGUUUCAUCUGAAUUCUCCAAUAAGUUCACUAAUUGGUUUGCUAGCUUGCUGCUAACAGCCAGGAUUGAACUGAUUAGACGAGAGUUUUAUCUUAUGUUCCUGCACUCACUAAAAGUGUAAUGUUAUUUUAAAUUUCAUUUUAACGGUUUAAAUUUUCCAGUGUGUGUGUGUGUGUGUAGUAUUUAAUAAUGUUAUUAUAUAUAAUAUUAAUAAUAACUGUACAUAAUAUAGAAGUUGCUAUCUAAUGCAUAAUUGUUUAUUUUACAAUAAUUUAUCAAAUUGAAAUUAUUAAUUAUAA
rnacentral:lncRNA from 1 species